rnacentral:lncRNA from 1 species
UUUAAAUAAAUAAACCCGUUUGAGCAUGAUUCACGCAUCAUGAAUUCCAUGAGAUAUAAUAGGGUGCUUGCAUUAGAACUCACGAAUAUGUUGCAUUGCAUAAUAUGUUGAUGAUGUGGAUGAAUGUUGAAUGAUCCUUUAGUCCUCGUAUGUUAUGAUAUGAUGAUGAUACGGUACAGAAGACAAGUGAGGCCCAUUCUACGCCCCUGGCACUAUGUAAGAGAAAGACCAGUGAGGCCCAUUCUACGCCCCUGGCAUUAUGGAAUGUUAUGUUAUGUUAUGAAAGAGAAAGACCAGUGAGGCCCAUUCUACGCCCCUGGCACAGUUGGACC